rnacentral:lncRNA from 1 species
AUGAAGGACAUUGGACAGCAACUCUAUAGCACAGAAGUGGGUGACGGAUGCAGUGCUUUGACCAUGUCACCCAAACAACCUAAUGCUCAUCGAGGGACUCGACCAGACAGACCGGAUUCUCAGACUCUUCUGUAUCAAGGCUCCGAGGCAGAGUCUGCUGCCAUGACCAUUGCUACGUGUGUAAAGUGCAAGAGUGUGCAUGAGGUCCCACUUCAGGAUCUGAAAAAGGGUACUGGACAAAGCCAGAAGGAGGACAAAUACGUUUGCUUCAAAUGCAACCUUGGCGUGGCCUCUCCCCAUUUCCACUUUGUGAACAACAGUCGCAGUACUACUCAAGUAGGAAACAAACCUGAAGCCAUCUCAAGUUCUGUCAAUCACAAGUUUAAGGUAAGGAACUUCAAGCCAGGCAAAUACUAUUGUGACAAAUGUCGCUUUUCCACAAAGGACCCUCUGCAGUACAAAAAGCACACACUUCAGCACGAAGAGAUUAAGUUUGUCUGUUCUCAUUGCGGUUGCAUUUCCUACACGAAAGGGGAGUUUCAGAGACACCUGGUGAAGCACACAGGCGUUUUCCCUUAUCGAUGUGAGUACUGUGACUAUGGUGCUAUCAGAAACGACUACAUCGUCAAGCAUAGGAGGAGAGUCCACGAGAAGGCGGGGGCAAAACGGCCGCCCAAAGCCAUCGCCAGGCUGGAGCCAAAAAGGAUCAGCGCCUCCAAGCAAAACCCAGAGCUUUCAAAAGCUUCCAGUCCCAGCACUGCCUUUCAAAAUAAGGUGUCAGAUCACCUCUCAAGGUUCUCCCUCCAUGCAAGUAAAGACAGGACGCACAGCAUCACGUUGUUACCCGAAACCAAAGACUACCAGAAAGACGUGGUGUGCAUCCCACACAAAGGGGCCCUGUCAGAGCCCCCUGAGGUCAGCCUGCUGGAGAACAAAAGUGUGGAGGUGGAGGUCUUGUCCCCCUCAAAAGAGCCUGUGCAGCCGGGGAUGCCCUUAACGGUAGUGGCGCCAGCCGAACUCGUCGUCCCCGCCAACUGUCUAGCCCAGCUGAUGGACGUGAAGGUUGUCAACGGAACGCAGCAGCUUGUGCUCAAACUGUUUCCCCUGGAAGAAACCAACAGCCUCGACGCCAGUGGAGGUGAUGGAGGUAGUUCCGAACGUGGGUCUAAAGAGAGAGGUGCAAGCGAGCAGGAAAAAAUGGCUUCCACAGAGCCCAUGCAGUCCCUCGCAAUUGAAGGGCCUGUUGGAAAACUUGCAGGCAUCGGCAGUCUACAGCCAUCAGUUCAGAAGCAGCUUAAAAAUGUGAAAUGGGUGAGGUCUUACGAUUUUUUCAUGCCAAAUUCUGGCAGGCACAGCAGUGGAGAAUCCCUGCUCAACCCAGGGAGAGUUGAGAGUUUGCAGAAAAAAGGUUACACGUAUCCCCAUAGAGCUACUCUGCCUUCCAUUGCCUUCAAAGGCCACUCUCCAUUAUCUCUAGUGAAAAACGGUGUCUUACGUAGUCUUGGAACUUCAUCGAACUCUUUUCCAUAUAAAGCUGCCCUUUCUUUUACUGAAGACAGAAGAAACUUACCCAGUGACCCACAGCAGUUAUUUCCUGUCUCUGCACCGCCUGCAACCAUUUCCUUCUCUGGAGAAAAGGACUCACUGCCCCUAUAUCAGAAUGACUUGGGCUCUAGGAAUGAGAUCAGCCUUCCUGCAAAAAUGGUCGCCCCUCCCAGGAAGCUGCAAGACAACCAGACGCAGGAAUACAAGGCAGUUUCAAACGCAGGCCAGGUUUCCUCUCAACACAGAAGUGAGUAUUUACGCAUCAGCGUAAUGGGAGAAGACAGAGUCAGAGCCCAACAGUCCGGGGAUAAACCUCUGGAAUUAAAGAAUCCCGACCAGACUAAUGACUCCUUCGAUGGCCCAGUGAUCUCCUCUGUCUUUUCUCUGAGCUCCGGAUCUGAAAACGUCCCUGAGGGCGUCAAGUGGAAUAGUUCAACGUCCAAAAUAAAGUCAAUUGAACUCUUGCGCAGAAAGAUAGCCCAGUUAAUCGAAUCCUGUGGCAAGCCUUCAUCUCUGGCUGCAAACAGCGCCCAUCGACAUUCUGUAGGGAAGGCGUCUAAAGUCACUUCAAAAGCCACGCCUGACGGCAUCCAGGAAAUUAAUGUGUCUUUCACCAGCUCUGGCUAUUCCACGGGCACGCUCCCCAGACCUCAGGAUGCCGGUGAUGUUAGUGGGCAGCUCGCACACCAGCAGGCGUAUCCACAGCUUGUCGAAGGCAGCAGUGGGAAAACCGAAAGCAGACUGACCAAGAAGCCCCAUGUGGCUGCUCCAGUGUUGAUACCCAAGGGGGCCGUGUUGAGGGUUCUUAAUUCCUCUGAGGAUUCCCAUAUCAUAGAGGCAACCUGCGAAGCACCUGUCAACAUCCCGUGCACUGAGACAGAGUUAAUAAAGCCCCUUCCGCUCUGCCCAAUGAAACGGACAGACCCAGACGUACAGUUUCUGACGAGUGAAAGUGGGCCCAUAGAUAUGUCCCCAAAUCACGAUCUGUCUUUUCGGCCUAAAUCACGAAAAGAGAGUGCCCAUUGUAGCACCGUGCCCAGAAAACCCGGAUCCAUGCACAGCCCACAAGGAAGCAGUGAAAUGAGCAAGCAAGCUAAACUGUUUCCCAGAAGUCUUCCCAUCAGUAAAAAUAAACCCAGACAAAUCAGCUCAUCCAAGAAGAAAAGCAAAAUCCAGACUGACCCCAGCCGCUGUUUCAGGGAUCCUUCCAUUUUUCAGGUUGCAAGACAGCUUCGACUGAUCGCAGCUAAACCAGACCAGUUGAUCAAAUGCCCCCGUCGGAACCAGCCCGUUAUCGUGUUAAACCAUCCUGACGUUGACUCACCGGAGGUGUCCAACGUGAUGAAGGUUAUAAACAAGUACAAAGGCAACGUCCUCAAGGUGGUGUUGUCGGAGAGGACUAGGUGUCAGUUAGGCAUGAGGCGGCACCACAUCCGACUGACCUACCAGAACGCUGAGGAAGCCAGUCAGAUCAAAAGGCAAAUGAUGCUGAAAAUGAAACUGAAGAAGGUUCAUAAAAGCAACUACCAGGUGGUGGAUUCCUCGCCUGAUGACUCAUCGCAGUGUAUAUUUAAGUGCUGGUUUUGUGGGCGGCUCUAUGAGGACCAGGAAGAGUGGAUGAGUCACGGCCAGCGGCAUUUGAUAGAGGCUACCAGAGACUGGGAUGUUCUUUCUUCCAAGGGCAAAUAA